UCUCCCGCGCUGUGUGCGCGUGGUGGGUGUGCGUGGGGGUGCGCGCGCGCGCACGUGUUCAGAUGGGAACCCCAAAGGGCGGCGGGUCAAGCCCUGCCUGUGGCUGACCUUGGCCAGGCCUGGGUGAUGGGUCUCCCCCCGAGGGCCCGGUGUCACCGGUGGGAAGGAGGCAGGGACACACGUGUUUUGCUCUGGGGUCCCUUCUCAGGCAGGUGCAGCAGAGGUGUGGGGCAGCUCGGAGGGGCGAGGCGUGUCCUCCUGCCUGUCUUUUGUCCCCGUGCUUGGCUCUGCUGCGUGUGGCACCGAGACGACGUGGUGCCCGUUGCCCCCGCCCCGAGGGGCACCUCCCUCACCCCAAAACAGAGGGGGCUCUUCGGGCUCCAGUGGCGUUGGGAUCCGAGUCCUCCACCUCCUGCCCUUCACCAACUAGUCGGCCAUACUUGCUGCUUUCCAGCGUGAAGGGCUGCCGCUGGCGUAGGGCGCGACGCUGGAGCUGCUGCCCCCGGGUCUUUGUCUGGUGCUGCCCUGCAUAGCAUCCCUCGGGGGAGAAGGGGCGACCCCCGGGCUCCCGGGUUUGGGUCUUGGCGCGCAGGGCAGAGCUGUGGCACGGCGUUGCGCCUGGAACUGCUGCCCGAGCUGCCAGCAAAGUUGUACCGGUUUAAAAUCUCCCUGCCUGAAAGGAACAAGUAAUUUUGGGGAUGCACUGCGGUUGCAGCAGCUAGACGGUUCCUGCCAGCUCUCCUCUCUGGAGGAGGUACCUGGUUCCCCUGGCAGAGGAUCUCGUCUGAGCUGAAUCAAUGCGUUUUAUGCUUUUUUUUCUUUCUCUCCUGCAGAAUAUCCUUAGAAGAGAAGUAUUUCAUGAGCCGUUUUUAAUAAAUGGGUAGUAUUUUCCUCUGCACUUCAUUUGAAGAGGUCAACUUCCCUAGGUCACCUUGGGGUACAAAAAACAUCUACCAGAAAAAAAAAACCAGCCUUAAUUUACAUUGAGCCUGGGGUAUGUUGAAGUUCUGUAGCUACUCUUACUGCAUCUCACUAUUUGUUAACCCAUCUCUUUUUAUAGAGAUCAUAGUUCUCGUUAUUUUAAACAAGGAUUUAGAAGGACAAUGCUAGAUUCUCUCAAUUUUUUUAACAAUUCAGCAUCUUUCUGCAGUGUUGAAUGUUGAAUGCAAAAGGGUUAAAUUAAGAUUUACUGGGAUCCUAAAAUGGCUCAGUGAAGAAAAGCACUAAAUUGUUUUAUUAGUAAUAAAUAUUAAGCUAUGUAAUCUGACAAUUUUCUUCCCUAAACCACUGAAGAGGUUUCCAGAAAGUAGUAGUAAUUUCUGAUAGCAGAGGAUGUUUCUGUGUGCAUCAUUAAUAAACACAUUUAAAAUGCAA